rnacentral:lncRNA from 1 species
GCGGGAGGCUGUCGCUCGGGUCCGGCUGCGGGCCACAGGCCGCGGAUCGCGCUCUGCCAGCGCCCCACGCCCGCAAGCGCGGCCCCUCCGCCACCUCGCGGCCCGGCCUGACCUGUUAAUCACGUCCCCACGGCUCUCCUAGCGGGGACACCGCCGUCUGCAGGCUCCGUCCCCACAGUGCCCAGACCCCGGGAAGUUUGUCAGUCAGCACCCUGAUGCCAGCCGAUUCUCAAAAAGCCAGGAGGAUCCAAGCAGAUGAUUUGCCAGACGGUACUGCAGCAAUGGAGAUGAACAGAUAAUUCACACAGAAAGAAGGACGCAGGAUGCUCGAGACUCUUGCAGUAAUUUGGGCAAAGAUUUCCACAGUGCAAAAUAGAAAAAACGUAACUGGCAAAUAGCUGUACAAAUUACAGUCCAUUUUCAUCAUGGAAUGUCAGUUUGGCAACAAUGGCAUCGAGGCCCAAAAGCAGCUCUGCAGUAGGGGGGUUCCUCCUUGGUGACUGGAUGGGCACAGCGAAGCACAAAUUCCUGAAGAUCCCAGCUCCAGGAAACAUCAGCAUGGUUCAUUGCGUUGUCCACCUGAAUUCUUCACCCCUCCCUGUGGCUGUGUCCAUUGCCCUGUAGUGUUGCAGUUCCCCUCA